AUUACUGUGAAAUUUACUAAAACAUUGGAACUAAUGACACAAACUGGAGCUGGGACACAAACUAAAUGUACUGUGUGAGCUGCAGGGUUUAAAAGCAGCACUGACAUGGAAAUGAUGGAAAUAAAUAGAACUUGGAGACUAAACUUACACAAGAGUCUCUGGUCAGCUCACACUAUCAGAAUAUAUAAUUGAUGGAUUUACCCUCCAUCAGGGGGCAGAAGGGCUGCAUGAUGAAGGUUAAAAUGAUCAUCAAGAGGCAGUUAUCUGUCAGCUAUCAGCUUUUUUAUUUCACUUAUAAACAGAAGAGAAAUAAAGAAGUUCUGUGUAUUAUAAUAUAAGAAGAUGUAAAAUUGUGUUCAGUGUACAAGUGGGUCUGUUUUACACUCUAACUGUUAUAAUAAAAUUAAAUUGUAAUAAGACUCCACUGUAGAAAACAGAAUGAUUCAGAGCUGAAUGAACUAAACCUACACUAUACAUGUCAGUAUUUGUACUAUACAUUUGUGUUGUCAAGGUUUUAGUUAGAAACACAAGUCUAUCAACAUGAUCCAGCUUUAGUGAGGACCACAAGAGAGGAACAAUAUUCCCCCAGUACUAAAAGCCCUCUCUGAAGGGGAACCUACACCUGACCUAAAUGAUAUUAAAAACUGGACACUGCUGAGUUUGUUAUUCAGAGAUUAUAAAUUACUCCCCAAGGUUUUGGCCAACAGACUGAGUGAAGUGUUAGAACAAGUCGUCCAUCGUGAUCAGACAGAUUGUGUCCCAGGAAGAUGAAUGUUUAUAAUAUUUCUGUUAUCUGGGAUCUUUUAGAUAUCAGUAAGAGUCUUAAGCAGAUUUUGGUCUAGUGUCAGUAGACCUAGAAAAGACUUUUGACCGAGUCGAACACAACUAUUUAUGAAUGUGUUCACAGCAUUUAGUUUUAGUCCUGAUUUUGUUUCCAUGAUAAAGGUUUUGUACAGUGAUGUUGAAAGUCUACUGAAAGUUAAUGGUGACUUAUGUGGUUACUUAUAAAGUUUAUAGAGGUGUUAUAAAAGUUGUGUCUUGUCUGGUGUGUUGUAUACUUUAGUAAUAAAAAGACUUUUAAACAAGUUAAGAACAGAUUUGUACUGAUUAUAUAUUCUGAAGUUCACAAACCUGUUUAUCAGCUGAUGAUGAUGAUGAUGAUGAUGAUGAUGUUUUAAUUAAAUCAGAGGUAAGUUUGAUGUUGGAAAUAUUAAAACAAUUUAAAAACAUCUCUGUUACAAAAGUAAAGUGAUAUAAAUGUAAACCCAUGGAUGUCCAUAUUGUUUACAGAGUUAAAGUGUUUCAUGCCUUUCUGCAGUGUAAUAGAUGAACAUUUAUUGUGUUCUAGUCUAUUUGAUGUGAGGAAACUUUCUCACUAGAAAUCUUUAUUUGUGGUUUCUGUCAAUUAUUUAUUUAAUAUAUCUGACAAUAUUUUAGUUAUUGUAAUAAAGGGGUUUAUAUGUGUUGAUGAAGAGUGUGUUAUUGUGUCUCUAUACAGUUUGGAGAGUUGUGGUGUCUCAGAUGAAGGCUGUGCUGCUCUGACUUCAGCUCUGAGAUCAAACCCCUCACACCUGAGAUACCUGGAUCUGUCCUAUAAUAAACUAGGAGACUCAGUAAAGAAGCUGCUGUCUGAUCUUAAGGAUGAUGAACAUUACAAACUACAGACAGUGAGGUGAGUAAUGACCUGUUAAUAAAAGUUUACCCUCAUUAUCAUUACACAUUGAUACACAUCACAUUUCUCUUCAAUAACUUUCACAUUAUCAGGUUAGAAAAUGUCACUAUAUUCUGUUUAAUCAGGAUUUUUCUAACGAUUCUCUUUAAUGCUGUUUUGUGUUCAGUAAAGUGUGUUGAUGUAAAAUUCAUGUGAAGGCAGAAAACAGGGAUUCAGACAGUCUACAAAAAGUCACCAAUGAGUUGAUGAGAGUGAUUGUUAAUGAACAUUGUGUCUUCUGUCAUUCCUGUAAAUUCACCUGAGUUUGUUCUUAAAGUCUGCACUUAAAUAUAAAUGUAGAACAAGAUCUAAAUGACACAGUAGUGUUUGUUAUAUAAAAAAGCUCCUGUGAUUGGAUAAGAGCAGUGAUGUGAUGGGUAAAGAUCUGCUCAUUAUCCUGUUAGAACUUGUGGAAGUUCUCAUUUGUUCUAGUUAAAUGUUAGAACACAGAUGUUAGUAAGAAUGAAGAAAUGUUGAAUGAUUCAUUAUAAACAGGAGAUGAUGAUGUUUCUGUUGGAGCAGAGAUGAUUACAUGCUGUUGGUCAUGAAGUACCACAGUCCACUUUGUGCUGAUUAAUUCACAUCUUUUUCUUUCAUAUUCAGGCUCUAAUGAAUAUCUGUGUGUGAUGAAGACUCCAGUGUUCCUGCAUUACCAUGAUGGAGAAUAGAGAACAUGUUUAUUAACACAUCACUCAUUUAGUUCUAACACAUUAAACACACACAGAGACGUGAGAAGUGUGUGUUCAUCGUGUACAGUGAAUCAGACUAAACACAAUUCUACACUGAGUUUAUAAUGACCUCUGAUCCCUGGAUAAAAUUCCCUGGACCUCAAUCCCAUAAAAACCUGAGGGAUUAUUUGUAACAGCAGGUGAAAAUCCACAUGAACUCGAGCUGAACCCUGUUCAUUUUACUGUUUGUGUCAUUUAUUAUGUGUUUAUUAUUGUGAUAUAAUUUACACUUUUUACACAUGUACACUUAUAGCUAUAUUACUGGGUACAUGACUAAAAUUAUAUUGUAUAAAGGCACUUAAAAUGUCUUGUAUAAAUACAUCAUACAUUUAUAAAGAAUAAAAUACAUAAAUACAACGUCAUUAUUUUUGUUGUGUAAAAUUAAUAGUCUGACAUUCUGUAGAAAAACUAUUUUUGUUCUUCAAAUAUAUAAUCUAUAUAAAUAAAGUUCUUCAAAAAUAAAUGCAUGUCUAACACAAUAUAUAGUUACAGAAUGUAUUUCUGAAGAGAA